CACCAUACUACUACAAGUCACCACCACCACCAUCCCCGUCUCCUCCCCCACCAUACUAUUACAAAUCUCCACCACCGCCAUCUCCAACCCCUCCUCCACCCUACUACUACAAAUCCCCACCUCCACCAUCACCAUCUCCCCCACCUCCAUACUACUACAAGUCUCCCCCACCACCCUCACCAUCUCCCCCACCCCCAUACUACUACAAGUCCCCUCCACCACCCUCACCAUCUCCUCCUCCUCCUUACUAUUACAAGUCUCCACCACCACCCUCACCAUCUCCCCCACCCCCAUACUACUACAAGUCUCCUCCCCCACCAUCACCCUCACCACCACCUCCCUAUUUCUACGAGUCCCCACCCCCACCUUCGCCUUCUCCUCCACCACCCUACUACUACAAAUCCCCACCCCCACCAUCACCUUCUCCACCUCCUCCCUACUACUACAAGUCUCCACCACCGCCAUCACCAUCACCUCCUCCCCCAUACCACUACACAUCACCCCCUCCUCCAUCACCCUCACCCCCUCCUCCCUACUUCUACAAGUCCCCACCUCCUCCUUCACCAUCCCCUCCCCCACCUUACUACUACAAGUCACCUCCACCACCUCCCUCAUACCUCUACACUUCCCCACCACCUCCAGUACACUCUUAAGGAUAAAAAGGCAAGCUCAUUCAUCAUCUCAACAAUGUCUUAGUUUGAUCACCAAAAUAACGGAAAGCUCCACAAUUAAGAGGCUCAUGUCUCAAGCUUGGGUUGGAACUGGAUUGAAUAAAUGUCUGAAGAGCAAAAGAGAGAGUUA